UUAAAACAAAAAAUUAUUUAAUAUAUACUGAAAUUAGAUUUUUUUUAAAAAAAAAUUAAAAAUGAAAGACAUAUUAAAUAGGGGAUUUAAAAAUGGUAAGUAAAUCUAUUUAGAAGAAGAGCAAAAUUUUGUAAAGUCCUUACAAUCCCAAGUGAAAAUAUUGUAAAGUCCUUCGAAUGCCAAGUGAAAGUAGCCACAAUAACCACACGUCAGACCCAAUAAUGGACAAGUAUUUCAACCCAAUACCCACUUCUCCAUUUCUUGAUCUUCACUCUCACUUUUGACCCAAUACCCACAUCUCAAUACUCUUCAUCUCACUGCUUAUCGAGAAAGAUCGACCUCAAUUCAAUCAAAGAACAAACAGAAACGGUCGAUCAACAAAGAAGAAGUAGCCAAAGACGAUGUGGAGAAGAAAUUGCAAGGUAUAAUACAGAAGCAUACAAACAAGAAUGCCAAAGCACUUGACUUACACAAGGUGGACCACGGAAGCCCAUAUUUUCCCUUUGCAAACAUCCCCUUCAAGAAUGACCAAAAGCACAAAAUCAGCCACACACUGCAUGUCACCUCGCCCACCCCAAACUCUACCACAUUUGGCUGCCUUAUCCUUAAGAAAGCUAUUGAAAGUGCUAGUAGUUGAAUAAUCAAAAUGGUUGUGCCUGGCACAAACAAUGGGGACUCAUCAAAUGUGAAACGGCCCAAAUCUCUAUCACUACUACUCUCUUUGUCGUCACUCGAAGAAGAUGACUCCUUUUUCGUUACUUCAAACACAGUCUCUGACAGUCCUAGUAGCUUGAGAACCACCGCCACUGCCCCAAGCAAGGAAGCACAGAUUGUGUUUAUCCUCGCCAUUCUCUCAUUAUUCCACCACGCUCUUGCUGAUUGGCCUGUUUCCCAAUAUUGUAACAGUUGUUGUAGAUUGUAAAACACAAACAGCAACAAAGGGAUGCAUCCUACUGGUUCUUGUACCUGCAUUCAAAAUUUAAAUGUCCAUUUGGUGGAUGAAGAGACGUAGCAAUGUUUAGAAGAUACUCUCUCAUUGUCAAUUGAUUAUUAAAUGAAAUCUGUAUUUUUAAUAA